GGCGGCGUGCCUAAUACAUGCAAGUCGAGCGAACUGAUUAGAAGCUUGCUUCUAUGACGUUAGCGGCGGACGGGUGAGUAACACGUGGGCAACCUGCCUGUAAGACUGGGAUAACUUCGGGAAACCGAAGCUAAUACCGGAUAGGAUCUUCUCCUUCAUGGGAGAUGAUUGAAAGAUGGUUUCGGCUAUCACUUACAGAUGGGCCCGCGGUGCAUUAGCUAGUUGGUGAGGUAACGGCUCACCAAGGCAACGAUGCAUAGCCGACCUGAGAGGGUGAUCGGCCACACUGGGACUGAGACACGGCCCAGACUCCUACGGGAGGCAGCAGUAGGGAAUCUUCCGCAAUGGACGAAAGUCUGACGGAGCAACGCCGCGUGAGUGAUGAAGGCUUUCGGGUCGUAAAACUCUGUUGUUAGGGAAGAACAAGUACAAGAGUAACUGCUUGUACCUUGACGGUACCUAACCAGAAAGCCACGGCUAACUACGUGCCAGCAGCCGCGGUAAUACGUAGGUGGCAAGCGUUAUCCGGAAUUAUUGGGCGUAAAGCGCGCGCAGGCGGUUUCUUAAGUCUGAUGUGAAAGCCCACGGCUCAACCGUGGAGGGUCAUUGGAAACUGGGGAACUUGAGUGCAGAAGAGAAAAGCGGAAUUCCACGUGUAGCGGUGAAAUGCGUAGAGAUGUGGAGGAACACCAGUGGCGAAGGCGGCUUUUUGGUCUGUAACUGACGCUGAGGCGCGAAAGCGUGGGGAGCAAACAGGAUUAGAUAC
rnacentral:rRNA from 2 species